AUUGAACGCUAGCGGGAUGCCUUACACAUGCAAGUCGAACGGAGUGGCGAACGGGUGAGUAAUGUAUCGGAACGUGCCCAGUAGCGGGGGAUAACUACGCGAAAGCGUAGCUAAUACCGCAUACUAUUGGAGCGGCCGAUAUCGGAUUAGCUAGUUGGUGGGGUAACGGCUCACCAAGGCGACGAUCCGUAACUGGUUUGAGAGGGCGACCAGCCCCACUGGGAAUGAGACAAUGCCCAUACUCCUACGGAGGGCAGCAGUGAGGAAUUUUGGGAAAUUGUGGAAACCCUACUCCGACCAUCCCGCAUGGGCGAUGAAGGCCUUCGGGUUGUAAAGCACUUUUGGAAGGAAAACGGUACCUGCAGAAUAAGCACCGGCUAACUACGUGCCAGCAGCCGCGGUAAUAC
rnacentral:rRNA from 1 species